AGGUUCUCAGGAUUAGAUGCAGACAUUUUUGGAGGGCCAUUACUCUGCCUACCCCACUCCUUAAAGACUAUCGAGAAUGGUUUGACUUAAUAAACUGUGGUAUAAUUUUGUAAUUAAUUUCCUGGCAACCAUUAGUAACAAAAAGGUUUAUGACAUGGGAAGAUUGAUACGAUAAAAGGCUGUGUAACAUGAACUCCGUCGUCUCCAACUCCUGGAUUUCUUCCAGGUAGUCAGAUCAAUAAGAAAGACAGCAUGGCUUGCCAAGCGGUGCCAUGUCCGCACCUGGAUCCGAACCAGCAAACCCCGGGCCGCCGAAGCAGAACAUGCACACUUAACCACUAUGCCACCAGGCUGGCCCCUCACAGACCUGUGGUGCUGGGCCACAACUGAGCUGCUGCAUUGGCAUAACUGAUACCUAAGUCAGCGUUAAUAGCAACAUCCACAUAACACCAAAUCUCCAAGAACUCAUUGUAUGGGUCAUCGCUGUGUGCUCUGGAGAAUUCAACCUUCCUGAACUAUACACUUUCUUGACCUUUGAGUGAAAAUAAUCUUUCUAC
rnacentral:lncRNA from 1 species